ensembl:rRNA 5S_rRNA 5S ribosomal RNA
UGCCACAGCCAUAUCACCCUGCAGCCCAAUAACGGUUACUCACUGAAGCUAAGCAGGACUGAGCCGGGUCAGUACCUGAAAGGAGAUCACAUAGGAAAAUCUAGGUUGCUGUUGGGA